AUGGUAUCAGAGCUUCAAGGUUCUCAAAAGAUGGCGAAUGGAGGUUUCCCUUUUCAAAUGUCGAUGCUCACAAAGAACAACUAUGAUAAUUGGAGUAUCAAGAUGAAGACGCUACUAAGAGUUCAAGAUGUGUGGGAUAUCGUUAAGGAAGACUUCAAGGAGCAAGUUGAAGUUGUUGAACAAGAAGUCUUAUCUUAUGUUUGGGCCAUGUUGAGUUGA